UCCAGGUCGGUUUCUAUCUAUGUACACGCCCCACCUAGUACGAAAGGAGCGGUGGAGCAAAGCCAAUACUACAAGCACGCUUUAAUAUAAAACAGCCCACUAACAUAAAAUCAAUCACCCCAAACCAAGAAAAGGUUAAUUAAGAACGAUCUUAAUACAUC
rnacentral:rRNA from 1 species